rnacentral:rRNA from 1 species
GAUGAACGCUGGCGGCGUGCCUAAUACAUGCAAGUCGAGCGAACAGAUAAGGAGCUUGCUCCUUUGACGUUAGCGGCGGACGGGUGAGUAACACGUGGGUAACCUACCUAUAAGACUGGAAUAACUCCGGGAAACCGGGGCUAAUGCCGGAUAACAUUUAGAACCGCAUGGUUCUAAAGUGAAAGAUGGUUUUGCUAUCACUUAUAGAUGGACCCGCGCCGUAUUAGCUAGUUGGUAAGGUAACGGCUUACCAAGGCAACGAUACGUAGCCGACCUGAGAGGGUGAUCGGCCACACUGGAACUGAGACACGGUCCAGACUCCUACGGGAGGCAGCAGUAGGGAAUCUUCCGCAAUGGGCAAAAGCCUGACGGAGCAACGCCGCGUGAGUGAUGAAGGUCUUCGGAUCGUAAAACUCUGUUAUUAGGGAAGAACAAAUGUGUAAGUAACUGUGCACGUCUUGACGGUACCUAAUCAGAAAGCCACGGCUAACUACGUG